rnacentral:tRNA from 1 species
AGUAAAGUGCCUGACUAAAGGAUUAUUUUGAUAGAAUAAAUUAUGUAUUAUUAUACCUUUACUA